rnacentral:snRNA from 1 species
GUGCUCAGUUUGGCAGCACAUAUACUAAAAAUUGGAACGAUACAGAGAAGAUUAGCAUGGCCCCUGUACAAGGAUGACAUGCAAAUUCGUGAAGCAUUCCAUAUUUUA